AUUGAACGCUGGCGGCAUGCUUUACACAUGCAAGUCGAACGAGUGGCGGACGGGUGAGUAAUAUCUUGGAAAGUGCCGGGUGGUGGGGGAUAACCACUGGAAACGUUGGCUAAUACCGCAUAUUAUCCGAUGUGCCCAUAUCGGAUUAGCUAGUUGGUGGGGUAAAGGCGUACCUAGGCGACGAUCCGUAGCUGGUCUGAGAGGAUGAUCGGCCACACUGGGACGGAGACACGGUCCAGACUCCUACGGGAGGCAGCAGUGGGGAAUGUUGGACAAUGGGAGCAAGCCUGAUGCAGCCAUGCCGCGUGUAUGAAGAAGGCCUUCGGGUUGUAAAGUACUUUCGUCAGGGAAGCGUUACCCACAGAAGAAGCACCGGCUAACUCCGUGCCAGCAGCCGCGGUAAUAC
rnacentral:rRNA from 1 species